GGGGAAUCUUCCGCAAUGGACGAAAGUCUGACGGAGCAACGCCGCGUGAGUGAUGACGGCCUUCGGGUUGUAAAGCUCUGUUAAUCGGGACGAAUGGUUCUUGUGCAAAUAGUGCGAGGAUUUGACGGUACCGGAAUAGAAAGCCACGGCUAACUACGUGCCAGCAGCCGCGGUAAUACGUAGGUGGCAAGCGUUGUCCGGAAUUAUUGGGCGUAAAGCGCGCGCAGGCGGAUUGGUCAGUCUGUCUUAAAAGUUCGGGGCUUAACCCCGUGAUGGGAUGGAAGCUGCCAAUCUAGAGUAUCGGAGAGGAAAGUGGAAUUCCUAGUGUAGCGGUGAAAUGCGUAGAUAUUAGGAAGAACACCAGUGGCGAAGGCGACUUUCUGGACGAAAACUGACGCUGAGGCGCGAAAGCCAGGGGAGCGAACGGGAUUAGAUACCCCGGUAGUCCUGGCCGUAAACGAUGGGUACUAGGUGUAGGAGGUAUCGACCCCUUCUGUGCCGGAGUUAACGCAAUAAGUACCCCGCCUGGGGAGUACGACCGCAAGGUUG
rnacentral:rRNA from 1 species